rnacentral:lncRNA from 1 species
CUGACUCCUUAUUAGCUUCAGAUUAGGCAGCAGCAAAAUUGCUUAAACCUGGCUUAACUGCCAGAAUAGGCCCUUUCAUGCAGCCCUUUUGUUCUUGGACCAUUGUCCCGGUGGCUCCCAGCCCCCCUUCCCCUAGCUCUGCCUGGGGCUUGCUGGACUUCCUAAGAGCCUCUCUGCAGCUAGAAAUGGAUCUGGUUUUUUUCAGGAUCUCUUUGUUGUCUUGAGUUCUCAGGGUGGCUGCCUAACACCUGCAGCACUCCCACAUCCCUGUGUAAAUUGCCUGCAUCCCUUGCUGACAAAUGAGAGGCCAUUGCCAGCAACAAGGUAACCUGGCAUUCCCUUCGAGCUGCCUUCUGCUUCCCAGCCAGCUCCAGACAAUCUCGCAGCCUGUCAGUCAGCAUCACGUGAGCAGUCCCCCAUCCAUUGCUCCUGGGACCCAGGGGGUGAUUUGGAAAGGAUCUGCUGGGCUGUCACUCACCUCCAUCUGCCUUCAGGAGAAGGAUUCUGGGUUCCAUGCUGUUUCCUCUUGUGCCUGCAUGGCUUUGAUCACAAUUUGCUUCUCAGGCCUUCAGAAUCACAGCUGCCCUGCUUGGAAGACGAGCGUGCAUCUGCCCAACAGCUUUCAGAGCGAGCCAUCCCUGGCAGCCAAAGCAGAUUCUCCGUGCCUGCUUCCAAGCAGCACGAGAUGA